ACACUCCUGCGGGAGGCAGCAGUGGGGAAUAUUGGACAAUGGGCGCAAGCCUGAUCCAGCCAUGCCGCGUGAGUGAUGAAGGCCCUAGGGUUGUAAAGCUCUUUCACCGGAGAAGAUAAUGACGGUAUCCGGAGAAGAAGCCCCGGCUAACUUCGUGCCAGCAGCCGCGGUAAUACGAAGGGGGCUAGCGUUGUUCGGAAUUACUGGGCGUAAAGCGCACGUAGGCGGAUCGAUCAGUCAGGGGUGAAAUCCCAGGGCUCAACCCUGGAACUGCCUUUGAUACUGUCGAUCUGGAGUAUGGAAGAGGUGAGUGGAAUUCCGAGUGUAGAGGUGAAAUUCGUAGAUAUUCGGAGGAACACCAGUGGCGAAGGCGGCUCACUGGUCCAUUACUGACGCUGAGGUGCGAAAGCGUGGGGAGCAAACAGGAUUAGAUACCCGAGUAGUCCCA
rnacentral:rRNA from 1 species